rnacentral:rRNA from 1 species
UACGUAGGGUGCGAGCGUUAAUCGGAAUUACUGGGCGUAAAGCGUGCGCAGGCGGUUCGUUAUGUCCGAUGUGAAAGCCCCGAGCUUAACUUGGGAAUGGCAUUGGAAACUGGCGGGCUGGAGUGCGGCAGAGGGGGGUGGAAUUCCACGUGUGGCAGUGAAAUGCGUAGAGAUGUGGAGGAACACCGAUGGCGAAGGCAGCCCCCUGGGCCGACACUGACGCUCAGGCACGAAAGCGUGGGGAGCAAACAGG